rnacentral:rRNA from 1 species
CCUACGGGUGGCUGCAGUGGGGAAUCUUCCUCAAUGGGCGAAAGCCUGACGGAGCAACGCCGCGUGAUCGAAUGAAGGCCUUCGGGUUGUAAAGAUCUGUUGUCAGGGACGAAAAAGCCAUGCGAAUAGUUUGGUGUAUGACGGUACCUGUUUAGAAAGCUCCGGCUAACUACGUGCCAGCAGCCGCGGUAAUACGUAGGGAGCAAGCGUUGUCCGUAAUUACUGGGCGUAAAGGGCGCGUAGGUGGGUGCUUAAGUCAGGUGUGAAAACUCUGGGCUCAACCUGGGGACUGCACUUGAAACUGGGUAUCUUGAGGGCAGGAGAGGAAAGUGGAAUGCCUGGUGUAGCGGUGAAAUGCGUAGAUAUUAGGAGGAACACCGGUGGCGAAGGCGACUUUCUGGACUGUAACUGACGCUGAGGCGCGAAAGCGUGGGUAGCGAACGGGAUUAGAUACCCUAGUAGUC